rnacentral:rRNA from 1 species
GAACUGAAGAGUUUGAUCCUGGCUCAGAUUGAACGCUGGCGGCAUGCCUUACACAUGCAAGUCGAACGGCAGCACGGGCUUCGGCCUGGUGGCGAGUGGCGAACGGGUGAGUAAUACAUCGGAACAUGUCCUGUAGUGGGGGAUAGCCCGGCGAAAGCCGGAUUAAUACCGCAUACGAUCU